rnacentral:rRNA from 1 species
AUUGAACGCUGGCGGCAGGCCUAACACAUGCAAGUCGAGCGAGCGGCGGACGGGUGAGUAAUGUCUGGGAAACUGCCUGCUGUAGGGGGAUAACUCCUGUAAACGGUAGCUAAUACCGCAUACCAUCAGAUGUGCCCCGAUGGGAUUAGCUCGUAGGUGGGGUAACGGCUCACCUAGGCGACGAUCCCUAGCUGGUCUGCGAGGAUGACCAGCCACAAUGGAACGGAGACACGGGCCAGACUCCUACGGGAGGCAGCAGUGGGGAAUAUUGCACAAUGGGCGCAAGCCUGAUGCAGCCAUGCCGCGUGUGUGAAGAAGGCCUUAGGGUUGUAAAGCACUUUCAGCGGGGAGGCGUUACCCGCAGAAGAAGCACCGGCUAACUCCGUGCCAGCAGCCGCGGUAAUUC